CCUGGAAUUUUCUGAUUCCUGCAACCUCCUCUUCUUUCCCUGUCCUGGUGAAUGAUGGGUAAAACUAAAGAUCUCAAGUUCUAGAUUGUAUGCAUAAGGGCAAAGCACGUAAGCACCUCAAUUGCUUCUUGAUUCAUGGAUAUCUUCCUUUCCUUUAAACUACACUUCCAGUUUUGGAGCCAGAUGCAAAAGCAAAACCAAGAGACAAAACAGUGACCAAAAACCUAAGGAAUCUCUGUCAGUAGAACACUUGAGCUGCAAAGAUGGAGGACAGAGUUGACAUGAUUGUGAUUGGUUGGUUCGCUGACAUAAAGAAAAGGAAUCCUCAGUUUGCAGCUCACUUCAAGGAAGGCCAUUACUCUGCAGGAAAGCUGAGAACUGGUAAGAGGAAGUGGAGAAAGUUACAGGAGAAGAGAGGAAAACUAGAUAUAAGGAAAGUAUAAAGGACAGACGACACAGCAAAUGAGAGUUGGUGGGGACAAUGUUGAAGACGUUCACGCCAACCACUGACACACUGCUGGCUCCAAAUGAGCCACAUCUCCCUGUAUAGGCCCUUGUGUCAUCCUCUCUCCUUGAACUGUGACUUAUUCUAACUGACUGGAAGUGGCAGAGGGCUGCUAUAUAGCUUCCUGGUCUAACCUUAAGAAAUGCUGCUUCUGGGCUCUUAGCCCUGGUCUGUUUAAGGACUCUCUUACUCUGCUGGAGCUACAUGGAGAGGCCACGGGAGAGGCCACGGGAGAGGGAGAGGCCCUGAGAGAAGAGCCCAGCCAUUCAGGGCCAGCCAAGCCCAGGCCCCUGCUGACCUACCAGCUGAGUGACCAUUGGCAAGAUCAACAGAGUUACCCAGCUGGGCCCAGCCCAGAAUUAAAGAAUCAUGAGCUAA